UGCCUGUCAAAAAAAAAAAUAAAUAAAUAAAAGAACUGAUACAUGAAGCUGGACAAGUGGGGUGCAAGGUGAGGUUCUGUGUAACUAAAUUUUAGAAAGUCUUAUGAGGGGGGAAAAAUGGAAGAUAUGUGUGAACAAUGAUUAUAUAAGUGAGAAGGUUAUAACUGAUUAAAUCUUACUCAUCUGCAGUUGUAAUUUUAUUUAAUAAACCUAGUUUCCUGGGCCAUAUAGCACAGAAAAUAUAAUCAAACUUUUAAUAUUAAAGGUAUCGUAGGCAUACAUGAUUGUAUGUAUAUGCAAGUGUGUGUGUGUGUGCACACUUUUAGAAAAGCUAAGUUUCCAUGGUGCUUCAAACAUGCACUGUUCUCUGGUAAAGACGCCAUGGUACAGAAGUUAAACAAGCCGAGCUCUAGGCUUUGACAACUUUAUUAUACUCUGCUAGUACUGUUGCCCAAGAACUAAGAAUUUUUUUUCAAAGACACCAACACCAGUUGUGCAGUGGUUAAUGAUAAACUAUGGCCCGAGGCUGUAUAAAUGGUCCUCAGUUUUGAAUACUACAGUUUUCUUUAAGGAAAUUUCUAAAGGGGCAUCCAGAUUGCACAGGACGGGGAUGUUUUUCCCAAUCACCAAACGGCCCUGGACACCACAGCCUUUUCCUUUCUACUCCUGGUAUUCGACUUCAUUUCCAUCCCAGCGGCGCCACUUGCUGUGUGACCUCAGCUGGUUUACUUGGGCUCUCUGAACUCCACCGGGCCUCUGUAAAAUGGAGAUAAGGGCGUCUCCCUCUACACCGCCGGCCGCUGAGAGAAGGGCUGGGAUCACUCGGCCUGGCUGGCCCUGCCUUGGGGACCCACACAGUCAGAAACCAGCGACUCUCAGAAGCUUUAGAACUCUGGCUCUUGGGGCCAAGCCCCUUCGAUUGGCCAUCAUGACGCCGGCGUUCCCGCCCAGCCUGCCACCGGCUCCUGGGCGCCCCGGCGUUCAGAAGCCACCGGGGAGUGCGGGCUGAGAAAACGUCGAAGAAGAAAAAGAAGGGCAGAGAAACAGCACCACCCGCACGGAGGGAGUGACUUAACAGUCUUCAGGAGAGGAAUUCCCGGAAGGGAAAUAAAACGGUUUCUUUUUCUGUGUCGCCUCCCGAGGCGCAUUCCGCCCCACGGUAAACUUUCAAGAAAGACCGGGUGUCGCCCGAAGCCGUGGGUGUAACUACUGCCUGGAGCUCACUUACCCUUUCUGCAGGCUGAGAUGUCCAAGAUCAAGGAACGGCCUCUGACCCACACCAACGGGAAAGAAGAGCUUUUCGGAUUGACAUAAGCUCAAUGAAGUUCACAUGGCAAGUAAG